rnacentral:rRNA from 1 species
GACAGAGGGGUCAAACGUUGUUCGGAAUUACUGGGCGUAAAGCGCGUGUAGGCGGCCGUGCAAGUCGGAUGUGAAAGCCCACGGCUCAACCGUGGAAGUGCACUCGAAACUGCUUGGCUGGAGUCCUGGAGAGGAAGGAGGAAUGCUUGGUGUAGAGGUGAAAUUCGUAGAUAUCAAGCAGUACACCGGUGGCGAAGUCAGCAUUCUGUACAGUGACUGACACUGAGACGCGACAGCGUAUGGAGCACAAAGG